rnacentral:rRNA from 1 species
GACGAACGCUGGCGGCGUGCUUAACACAUGCAAGUCGUACGGUAAGGCCCUUUCUGGGUUGCACGUUUGUCGAGCGGGGGAGUAACACGCGAGUAAACUGCCCCCCUUACUUGGCUAACGCAAGGCAACUGGUGCUAAUACUUGAUAUGUGUUCCUGCCGGAUGGCGGGGGUUGGUUAGCUACGGCGGUUGUGGGGGGACUGGCGGCCUAUCCGCUUGUUGGGGGGGUAGGUGCCGACCAAGGCGGCGACGGGUAGCCGGCGUGCGAGGGUGACCGGCCACAUUGGGACUGAGAUACGGCCCAGAAUCCGACGGGAGGCAGCAGUGGGGAAUGUUACACUAUGGGAGCGAGCCUGAUGCAGCGACGCCGCGUGCGGGAUGGCAGCCUUCUGGUUGUAGACCGCAUUCAGCAGGGACGAAGCUUGUUGUGACGGUACCUGCAGAAGAAGCACCGGCUAACUACGUG